rnacentral:rRNA from 1 species
GACGAACCGUCCAAACGUUAUUCGGAAUCACUGGGCUUACAGAGUUCGUAGGCGGUCUGGAAAGUUGGGUGUGAAAUCCCUCGGCUCAACCGAGGAACUGCGCUUGAAACUACCAGACUCGAGGGAGAUAGAGGAAAGCGGAACUGAUGGUGGAGCGGUGAAAUGCGUUGAUAUCAUCAGGAACACCGGUGGCGAAGGCGGCUUUCUGGGUCGUUACCUGACGCUGAGGAAC